rnacentral:rRNA from 1 species
UGGGGAUUAUUGCACAAUGGGCGCAAGCCUGAUGCAGCAACGCCGCGUGAACGAUGAAGGUCUUCGGAUCGUAAAGUUCUGUUGCAGGGGAAGAUAAUGACGGUACCCUGUGAGGAAGCCCCGGCUAACUACGUGCCAGCAGCCGCGGUAAUACGUAGGUGGCAAGCGUUGUCCGGAAUUAUUGGGCGUAAAGCGCGCGCAGGUGGUUUAGAAAGUCUGAUGUGAAAGCCCACGGCUCAACCGUGGAGGGUCAUUGGAAACUAAUAAACUUGAGUGCAGGAGAGAAAAGUGGAAUUCCUAGUGUAGCGGUGAAAUGCGUAGAGAUUAGGAGGAACACCGGUGGCGAAAGCGGCUUUUUGGCCUGCAACUGACACUGAGGCGCGAAAGCGUGGGGAGCAAACAGG